CCUACGGGUGGCUGCAGUGGGGAAUAUUGGACAAUGGGCGAAAGCCUGAUCCAGCCAUGCCGCGUGUGUGAAGAAGGCCUUCGGGUUGUAAAGCACUUUCAGUGGGGAAGAAAGCCUUGGGGCUAAUACCCUCGAGGAAGGACAUCACCCACAGAAGAAGCACCGGCUAACUCCGUGCCAGCAGCCGCGGUAAUACGGAGGGUGCGAGCGUUAAUCGGAAUUACUGGGCGUAAAGCGCGCGUAGGCGGUCUGAUAAGCCGGUUGUGAAAGCCCCGGGCUCAACCUGGGAACGGCAUCCGGAACUGUCCGGCUAGAGUGCAAGAGAGGAAGGUAGAAUUCCCGGUGUAGCGGUGAAAUGCGUAGAGAUCGGGAGGAAUACCAGUGGCGAAGGCGGCCUUCUGGACUGACACUGACGCUGAGGUGCGAAAGCGUGGGUAGCAAACAGGAUUAGAUACCCCGGUAGUC
rnacentral:rRNA from 1 species